rnacentral:rRNA from 1 species
UACGAAGGGGGCUAGCGUUGUUCGGAUUUACUGGGCGUAAAGCGCACGUAGGCGGACUAUUAAGUCAGGGGUGAAAUCCCGGGGCUCAACCCCGGAACUGCCUUUGAUACUGGUAGCCUUGAGUUCGAGAGAGGUGAGUGGAAUUCCGAGUGUAGAGGUGAAAUUCGUAGAUAUUCGGAGGAACACCAGUGGCGAAGGCGGCUCACUGGCUCGAUACUGACGCUGAGGUGCGAAAGCGUGGGGAGCAAACAGG